rnacentral:rRNA from 1 species
AUAGAGGCCUACCAUGGUGGUAACGGGUAACGGGGUGUUAGGGCACGACACCGGAGAGGGAGCCUGAGAAACGGCUACCACAUCCAAGGAUGGCAGCAGGCGCGCAAAUUACCCAAUCCCGACACGGGGAGGUAGUGACAAUAAAUAACAAUACGGGGUUCUUUAGGAUCUCGUAAUUGGAAUGAGUACAAUUUAAAUCUCUUAACGAGGAACAAUUGGAGGGCAAGUCUGGUGCCAGCAGCCGCGGUAAUUCCAGCUCCAAUAGCGUAUAUUAAAGUUGUUGCAGUUAAAAAGCUCGUAGUUGAAUUUCGGGGUUAGUAGGUUGGUCAUGCCUCUGGUAUGUACUGGUCUCACUGAUUCCUCCUUCCUUAUGAACCGUAAUGCCAUUAAUUUGGUGUUGCGGGGAAUUUGGACUGUUACUUUGAAAAAAUUAGAGUGUUUAAAGCAAGCUAACGCUUGAAUACAUUAGCAUGGAAUAAUGAAAUAGGACGUUCGAUCUUAUUUUGUUGGUUUCUAGGAUUGACGUAAUGAUUAAUAGGGAUAGUUGGGGGCAUUAGUAUUCAAUUGUCAGAGGUGAAAUUCUUGGAUUUAUUGAAGACUAACUACUGCGAAAGCAUUUGCCAAGGAUGUUUUCAUUAAUCAAGAACGAAAGUUAGGGAAUCGAAGACGAUCAGAUGCCGUCGUAGUCUUAACCAUAAACUAUGCCGACUAGGGAUCGGAUGA